GCGGCUCCGCUCGGCUCCCGUGCGGCUGCAGCGGGGCCGGGGCCGGCAGCGAUGGUGGCCGCGCCGGGGCCGGGGCUGCUGGCCUUGGCCUUGGCCUUGUGGCCGGCAGGGCUCUGGGCACAGCCGAGGCUGCAGGAGGCCGGCGGAGGGCUGCGAGCGCCCGGGGACUCCGUCACCCUCUCCUGCAAAGGAUCCGGAUUCAUCUUUAGGAAUUAUGGAGUUUAUUGGUACCGUCAGUCACACGAUGACCGGCUGCAGUGGGUGUCCGUUAUUAGUUUUGAUCCGACAGUUCUUUAUUUUGACCAGUCAGUGCAGGGGCGGGCCAAGAUGUCCCGGGACAAUUCCCGGUCCGAGGCUUAUCUCUCCCUGCUGACCCUGCAGCCCCGCGACUCUGCCCGCUACUUCUGCGCUAUUCACACGGGGACAGGAAACCCAGCUGGGCUUUAACUCAAACCAGCUCGGGCCUGGCUCAGCACCCACGAAAUUUGGAGAUGGUGAAUUCCAAAGUGGUUCAGGGCUGUUCCAAAGAAAUCAGGUGCCAUCCCCACGCAGCACCAGGGAUCCUGGCCUUUCAUCAAGA